ACUCCUACGGGAGGCAGCAGUGGGGAAUAUUGCACAAUGGGGAAACCCUGAUGCAGCCAUGCCGCGUGUGUGAAGAAGGCCUUCGGUUGUAAAGCACUUUCAGUAGGGAGGAAGGUAGUGUAGUUAACACCUGCACUAUUUGACGUUACCUACAGAAGAAGCACCGGCUAACUCCGUGCCAGCAGCCGCGGUAAUACGGAGGGGUGCGAGCGUUAAUCGGAAUUACUGGGCGUAAAGCGCAUGCAGGCGGCCUGUUAAGUCAGAUGUGAAAGCCCGGGGGCUUAACCUCGGAAUUGCAUUUGAAACUGGCAGGCUAGAGUCUUGUAGAGGGGGUAGAAUUUCAGGUGUAGCGGUGAAAUGCGUAGAGAUCUGAAGGAAUACCAGUGGCGAAGGCGGCCCCCUGGACAAAGACUGACGCUCAGAUGCGAAAGCGUGGGGAGCAAACAGGAUUAGAUACCCUGGUAGGAUAGCC
rnacentral:rRNA from 1 species